rnacentral:tRNA from 1 species
AAGAAUUUAAGUUAAAAAAACUAUUGACCUUCAAAGUCAAAAUUAGAUAUCAAAUCUAAUUCUUA